rnacentral:tRNA from 1 species
GGGCUCGUAGCUCAGCUGGUUAGAGCGCACGCUUGAUAAGCGUGAGGUCGGAGGUUCAAAUCCUCCCGGGCCCACCA